GAGGAGGAAAAAAAAAGGGAGGGAGAGCCGGGCCUCGUGGCUCACGCCUAUAAUCCCAGCCCUUUGGGAGGCUGAGGCAAAUAGAUCCCUUCAGCCCAGGAGUUCAAGAACAGCCUGGCCAACAUGGUGAAACUCCGUCUCUACUAAAAAUACAAAACCUAGGGCCAGGCACGGUGGCUCAGGCCUGUAAUGCCAACACUUUGGGAGACCAAGGCAAGUGGAUCACCUGAGGCUGGUCUCGAACUCCUGUCCUUAAGUGAUCUGCCCCCCUCAGCCUCCCAAAGUGCUGGGAUUACAGGUGUGAGCCACCACACGUGGCCUAAUUUUUUUUUUUUAAAUAAUAGAGACAAGGUCUCGCUAUGCUGCCCAGGCUGAUCUCAAACUCCUGGACUCAAGCAAUCCUCCUGCCUUGGCCUCCCAAAGUGCUAGGAUUAUAGGAGUGAUCCACUAUGUCCAGCCUCCAAAUCCUUUCUAAACACUAGGACUUUUCAUGAAAAGAAAAAAGCUAUGCCAGUUAGACACACACAGAAAUCUCAUGAUUUUAUUUUGAAUUUCUUUGACUAAAUUGAACUUACAAAUAAGUUUAUUAUGGCCAGGCGUGGCAGUGCACACCUGUAAUCCCAGCACUUUGGGAGGCUGAGGCGGGCAGAUCACUUGAGCUCAGGAGUUCAAGACCAGCCUGGCGAACAUAGUGAGACCUCAUCUCUACAAAAAAUACAAAAUUAGCGGCCGGGAGUGGUGGCUCACGCCUGUCAUCCCAGCACUUUGGGAGGCUGAGACAGGUGGAUUGCUUGAGCCAAGGAGUUUUGAGGCCAGCUUGGGCAAUGUGGUGAAACCUGUCUCUACUAAAAAAUAAAAUAAAUAAAUAAAUAAAUAAAUAAAUAAAUAAAUAAAUAAAAUUUAAAAGAAGCUGGGCUGAGAUGGGAGAUUUACCUGAGCCUGGGAACUCAAGGCUGCAGUGAGUGGUGAUUGCACCACUGCACUCCAGCCUGGGUGAUGGGAGUGAGACCCUGUCUCAAAAAACAAAAUCCAAAUAUGUUGAUUAGCCAUUUACAUGUUUGUAGUUUUUUUUUUUUUAAUUUCAGUGAAUUGCCUGUUCAUAGCUUUUUUCUACUUUUCAGGAGUGUUUGCAUUUUUCUUAUUGAUAUCUAAUAACUCUUUAUAUCUGAAGGAUAUGAACGCUUUGUGAUACAGGUUACAGAUUUUGGGGUUUUUUUCUCCGCUUGCUGUGAGCCUUUUGGGUUUGUUUCCUAGCUCCAAAUCUUAACUUGGUGUCAAGUUUCCUGGCUGGGAGACAAGCUUUUACCGACUUCCUCUGCUUGCCAGCAAAGUCAUCUGCUAACUGGAUAUUGGCAGCUUCUCUGCUGUCUUGCAGCUGCUUCCGGAGUGGGUUCCACAGGGAUUCCCGUGUGUUCUUGGUUCAGCUUGCAGAGGGACUUUCACACUCCCUGGAGACCGUUUCCUCCCAUUCUGUCUGGAGUUUUCGGCCUACCCCAAGACAAUGAGAUAUUCCUGACCUUUCCACCUAUUUCCCUCCAACCCCACCUUCCGAAAU
rnacentral:lncRNA from 1 species